UACGGGGGGGGCAAGCGUUGUUCGGAAUUACUGGGCGUAAAGGGCUCGUAGGUGGCCAACUAAGUCAGACGUGAAAUCCCUCGGCUUAACCGGGGAACUGCGUCUGAUACUGGAUGGCUUGAGAUUGGGAGAGGGAUGCGGAAUUCCUGGUGUAGCGGUGAAAUGCGCAGAUAUCAGGAGGAACACCGAUGGCGAAGGCAGUGUUCUGGGCCAGUACUGACGCUGAGGAGCGAAAGCGUGGGGAGCAAACAGG
rnacentral:rRNA from 1 species